GUCAGGAUGGCUGAGCGGUCUAAGGCGCUGCGUUCAGGUCGCAGUCCGGUCUUCCGAGCGUGGGUUCGAAUCCAACUUUUGACA
rfam:Ixodes scapularis strain Wikel colony gcontig_1108379684106, whole genome shotgun sequence.